AUAGUGAUACCACCCAUAUCUACCCGAAUAACACAGUCUCAGAGAAGAUUAGCAUGGCCCCUGCACUAAGGAUGACACGCUCAAUCAAAGAGAAGCUACCAAUUUUU
rnacentral:snRNA from 1 species